rnacentral:rRNA from 1 species
GCUGGAAUUGCUAGUAAUGGCAGGUCAGCAUACUGCCGUGAAUACGUUCCCGGGCCCUUGUACACACCGCCCGUCACACCAUGAGAGUUGGAAAUACCCCGAAGCCUGUGAGCUAACUUAAAGAGGCAGCAGUCGAAGGUAGAGCCAAUGAUUGGGGUGAAGUCGUAACAAGGUAAC